rnacentral:rRNA from 1 species
AGUGAACGCUGGCGGUAGGCCUAAUACAUGCAAGUCGAACGGCAGCACAGUAAGAGUUUGCCUCUGAGGGUGGCGAGUGGCGGAUGGGUAAGGAAUAGAUCGGAUUCUAAUUUUUCGUGGGGGAUUACGUAAGGAAAGAUACGAUAACACAGAAUAUGAUCUACGGGAGGAAGCAGGAGAUAUUCAGAGCUUGCGCGUUUCUAUGAGCCGGUGUCGGAUUAGCUAGUUGGCGUGGUAAAGGCCUACCAAGGCGACGAUCCGUAGCUGGUCUGAGAGGAUGAUCGGCCACACUGGAACUGAGACACGGUCCAGACUCCUACGGGAGGCAGCAGUAGGGAAUAUUGGACAAUGGGCGCAAGCCUGAUCCAGCCAUACCGCGUGAGUGAAGAAGGCCUUCGGGUUGUAAAGCCCUUUUGUUGGGAAAGAAAAGCUGCAGAUUAAUACCCCGCUGUUCUGACGGUACCCAAUGAAUAAGCACCGGCUAACUUCGUG